ACGAACGCUGGCGGCGUGCCUAACACAUGCAAGUCGCGCGAGAAAAGGGAGCAAUCCCUGAGUAAAGCGGCGAACGGGUGAGUAACACGUAGGUAAUCUACCCCCGAGCCUGGGAUAACCUACCGAAAGGUGGGCUAAUACCGGAUAUGACCACGGGAGUUUCGGCUCCUGCGGUGAAAGGUGGCCUCUGCUUGCAAGCUACCGCUCGAGGAUGAGCCUGCGCGCCAUUAGCUAGUUGGCGGGGUAACGGCCCACCAAGGCGAUGAUGGCUAGCUGGUCUGAGAGGAUGGCCAGCCACACUGGGACUGAAACACGGCCCAGACUCCUACGGGAGGCAGCAGUGGGGGAUCUUGCGCAAUGGGCGAAAGCCUGACGCAGCGACGCCGCGUGGGUGAUGAAGGCCUUCGGGUCGUAAAGCCCUGUCGAAGGGGACGAAACGGUUCCGGUCAAA
rnacentral:rRNA from 1 species